AAUCCAUAGGUUAAUGAGGCGAACCGGGGGAACUGAAACAUCUAAGUACCCCGAGGAAAAGAAAUCAACCGAGAUUCCCCCAGUAGCGGCGAGCGAACGGGGAGGAGCCCAGAGCCUGAAUCAGCAUGUGUGUUAGUGGAAGCGUCUGGAAAGGCGCGCGAUACAGGGUGACAGCCCCGUACACAAAAGCGCAUGUGCUGUGAGCUCGAUGAGUAGGGCGGGACACGUGGUAUCCUGUCUGAAUAUGGGGGGACCAUCCUCCAAGGCUAAAUACUCCUGACUGACCGAUAGUGAACCAGUACCGUGAGGGAAAGGCGAAAAGAACCCCGGCGAGGGGAGUGAAAAAGAACCUGAAACCGUGUACGUACAAGCAGUGGGAGCCCCACCACCAAAGCAUUUGCUGUACCGCGUUGACGGAGCGAAGCGACGUCAAACCGAUAAAACAGCAGUGUAAAGUGAGCCGCAGGGCGCUUUGCGCGACAGCGCAAAGGCAGGCGGUUUCGCGUAGCGAAAGCGAAUGCUUUGGGGUGGGGUGACUGCGUACCUUUUGUAUAAUGGGUCAGCGACUUAUAUUCUGUAGCAAGGUUAACCGAAUAGGGGAGCCGGAGGGAAACCGAGUCUUAAUUGGGCGUUAAGUUGCAGGGUAUAGACCCGAAACCCGGUGAUCUAG
rnacentral:rRNA from 1 species